rnacentral:piRNA from 1 species
UAACGAACUGCUUGUCUUGGAAUCGUUGC